AGAGAAUGUGUGCAGCCUGAGAGGGCGAGAGCCACCUGCCAGUUAGGUUUGAUGGUCUUCAUCUGUCCUUGUACGGCACACGGUGAUGGCAGCAGCCUCCAACUGGGGUCGGAGCCAGUGGCCCGAGAACCUCUCAGCUCAGGGGAGGCAACCGAGUCAGGGAUCACAGGACCCUCUGAGCCAGCCGGGCGUCCUUCCUUCACAUUGAAGAUGGAUUCACAUCCCCAGCUGUGGGAAAGAUAAGUGGAGGACUCCCACCUGGAGAGGGGAUGAGAGCUGGGUCCAGUUUUAUGUUUAGGAGGGAGGGAUUUUCAGAUGAGCACAGGAGAAAGGGUCUGCCCUAACAGGCCCUUGACACACAUAGGAGGAGCAGUUUACUUUUCAUCAUGGAGUAGGAUGUGCAGGGCAGAGCUGUUCAGGUCUGUGUCGUGUCCUUUGUCCAGUCUGUGUUUCGUGUCUUACUAUUCACAGUCACCACAUCUUUGCUUUCUGUCCUCAAAGUUCUUAUCUGAGGCAUCAUUCCUAGGGUCUUGAACCUCUGCACUGCCCAGCCCAGUGCCCAUACCAUCCGUUCUUUGGCUCGCUAGCUUGGAUGUGCGUCAGAAUCGCAUCUGAGAAGUGUCAGGUCAGGUGUCUUUUACAGCCUCCUUACAGGUUGUAUCAGUGGCUGUGCCGUGCAGUCAUCCCUUGUCAUCCCCCCUGGGACUUGUGAGAAUCUAAGAAGAUUCUGAACAUAGCCUUGUCUCCCAUCCAUCUUAGCAAUUUUGUAGGCAGUUCUUGCCCCAGGCCAUUCUGUUAGAGUGUCUUUUCAGGCUCCUCAGAGCCUCCUCCGUUCAGUCUCGCCGUAUCCUCCGUCUUCUCGUGCGGCAGCACAUCCAUUUUGGCGUCGUUCCUUUCUCAGAGUUCUCUCUCCUGGUUGCACCACAGCACUUGUCUGGAAAUGUGUCCUUGGAGUUUGUGUUGGGCCUGGAACUGCUCUGCCCUGCAGUGUAGAGUUGGGGGUAGGUGGAGUAGAAAGGAGACUUCCCAGUUACCCUGUGAUAGGCUCAGGCACUGAGGGCAGGGCCUUAAAGUGAGGUCAGUGUUUGUUUGUGCAGGUUGUCUUUGGACCCCAGAGGGCUUGUCUAAGGAGAAA